GCCGUCAGCACAGAGCCCGACGCGGGGCUUGAACUCACGGACCGCGAGAUCAUGACCUGAGCCGAAGUCGGACUGACCUGAGCCGAAGUCGGAUGCUCAACCGACUGAGCCACCCAGGCACCCCCCUUGUAGAACUCUUAAGCAGAUACAAGGACACAGUCUAGAUUCAAAUACCUGACUCUGGUUCCAAAAUUUGAUUUGGGAAAUAUAGAUCAGAUCUUAUUAAAUCAACCUUAUAGGAACUGUAUGGAUAUUUUAUAAUACUGAAAAUCUCUGUUUUGGUGUUUUUUAUUUUAUUUUAUUUUACAAAACUGGCCUUGAAAAUUUUGUUUCAUUAAACUUAACUUUCACUUAUUCUUUCUAUCUGAAGUUGGAUCAAAGGGGGAAAAAAGAAGGGGGAGAUGAUGAUAAAAAAUGAGGGCAGAACCUUCUUUCUAUCAGUGACUACGAGAACACUGUGUUUUCUCCGAGAGACAGUUAAAGGGAAGUUAUCAGUGGGGGUGCUGGAACUCCCAUUCUCUCCCAGCAGUCAUGAGGAGCGUCUCAGCUUGGAAGUCAAGAAGGCCAAGUGCAAACCUGCACUUUCACCCCCACCUGGCAGGAAUGAGGCAGCACUCCCUUCCCUGGCUGGAGUGGGGUCAGAAAAAGCCAUACAGGGUUUAAGUAAGAUCCAGAGUCUCAUAACAUAUUAUCUAAAAUGUCCUGAUUCCAUUAAAAAAUCAUUGUCCUAUCAAGAACCAGGCAGAGCCCAAAUAGAAUGAAAAAAUACACUCAACAGAUGCCAACACUGAGAUGGCAGAGAUGUUAGAGUUACCUGGCAGAGAUUAUGAAGCAUUCAUCAUAAAAAUGUUUCAACUAGCAACUAUGAAUACACUUGAAACAAGUGAAAAAACAGAAAGUCUCAGCAAAGAAAUAGAAGAAGAAGCAAUUAGAAAUUUUGAGAAAUAAAAAAAUAUAGUGAAAAACUAAAAUAAAAAACUCAAUGGAUGAGCCCAGUAGCAGCAUCUAGGAGACAGAGGAGAGAAUCCAUGACCUUGGAGACAGAACAAUAGAAAUUACUCAAUCUGAGCAAUAGAGAGAAUAGACUGGAAAAAAAAAAUAAGCAGAGCCUCAGAGACCCGUGGGUCUUCACGAAGAUCCAACAUUCAUGUUAUUGGAGACUCAAAAGACAGGUAGAAAGAAGACCGGGCUGAAAAAGUACCCAAGGAAAUAAUGGCUGAAAACUCCUGCAAUAUGGCAAAAUCCAUAAACCUACAGAUUCAGAAAACUGAGUCUACUCCAAACACAGUAAACCUAGAGAAACAGCACCAUUUGCAUUAUAGUCAAGCUUCUGAAAACUAAAGAAGUAUUGAAAGCAGGGAGAAGCACCUUAACUAUAGGGGGAAACACUUUGAAUGACAGCAAAUGUCUCAUCAGAAACCAAAGAGGCCAGAGGGAAAUGGCACAACAUUUUUCACGUGCUGAAAGAAUUGUUAAUCCAGAAUCCUAUACCCAGGGGAAAUAUUCCUCAUGAGUGAAGGAGAAAUCAAAGCAUUCCCAGGUGAAGGAACACAGAGGCAAUCUGUUGGUGGAAAAUUACCUUAAGAAAAUGACUAAAUGAGAUUCUCCAAGGGAAAAGGAAACAAUAAAAGAAAUCUUGGAACAUCAGAAAAAAAGAACGUGGUAAGCAAAAAUAUGGAUAAAUACAACUGGCUUCCCUUCUCAUACUGAGUUUUCUAAAGUACAUUUGGUUGUUGAAAAAAAGAUUAUACCACUGUC